rnacentral:rRNA from 1 species
AACGAACGCUGGCGGCGUGCCUAACACAUGCAAGUCGAACGAGAAAGGGGCUUCGGCUCCGAGUAAAGUGGCGCACGGGUGAGUAACACGUGGGUAACCUGCCUCUAAGAUUGGGAUAACUCGUCGAAAGAUGAGCUAAUACCGAAUAAGACCACAGUUCCCGCGGGAACAGGGGUCAAAGGUAGCCUCUGCUUGCAAGCUAUCACUUAGAGAUGGGCCUGCGCACCAUUAGCUAGUUGGUAGGGUAACGGCCUACCAAGGCAAAGAUGGUUAGCUGGUCUGGGAGGAUGAUCAGCCACACUGGGACUGAGACACGGUCCAGACUCCUACGGGAGGCAGCAGUGGGGAAUAUUGCGCAAUGGGCGAAAGCUUGACGCAGCAACGCCGCGUGAGUGAUGAAGGCCUUCGGGUCGUAAAGCUCUGUCGGGAGGAACGAAUGCUCCUGAGGUUAACAGCCUCGGGAGGUGACGGUACCUUCAAAGGAAGCACCGGCUAACUCUGUG